GGGAAUCUACCGUGCCCUGCGGAAUAGCUCCGGGAAACUGGAAUUAAUACCGCAUACGCCCUACGGGGGAAAGAUUUAUCGGGGUAUGAUGAGCCCGCGUUGGAUUAGCUAGUUGGUGGGGUAAAGGCCUACCAAGGCGACGAUCCAUAGCUGGUCUGAGAGGAUGAUCAGCCACAUUGGGACUGAGACACGGCCCAAACUCCUACGGGAGGCAGCAGUGGGGAAUAUUGGACAAUGGGCGCAAGCCUGAUCCAGCCACGCCGCGUGAGUGAUGAAGGCCUUAGGGUUGUAAAGCUCUUUCACCGGUGAAGAUAAUGACGGUAACCGGAGAAGAAGCCCCGGCUAACUUCGUGCCAGCAGCCGCGGUAAUACGAAGGGGGCUAGCGUCGUUCGGAAUUACUGGGCGUAAAGCGCACGUAGGCGGAUAUUUAAGUCAGGGGUGAAAUCCCAGAGCUCAACUCUGGAACUGCCUUUGAUACUGGGUAUCUUGAGUAUGGAAGAGGUAAGUGGAAUUGCGAGU
rnacentral:rRNA from 1 species